AACAAGGAUUUUGUGGUGAAAAUCGAUCCUCCGAUUUAGGGACCUACAAUGAUUCUUCAUGCUUGAUUACUUAGGCUACAUGUUGAGGACCGAGAUAUUGGUUUGUGAAUUUAGGGCUUUUGGCUUGCUUUUAUGAAUGCUAUAGACAGCGAUACAUUGGUUGGGAAAAAAUAAAUUUUAUUUAAAUCUGUAAUGUACUAAAGUUGGAUAUAUAUUAACGGUAUGUUCUAUUUAGGAAGUACACCUCGAUGCUUGAAUUUUGAGAUAAAGAUAAACAAAUAACCAUGGUGCAACUGGAUGGUUUGUUAACACUGGCUGGUCAGGUGGAAGGUAAGUAUUGGGAAAUAUUGUCUGUAUAGUUGUGUUAAUCCAGUGAGAAAAUAAUAUUGCAUACUAAACCAGCCGAUUUCGGGUUUUUUUUUCGGUUUCAGUCCUAAACCAGUUUUUUUGUUGGAAUUUCUACUUUUACUUUUGUUGUUGAAAUGCCCAAAUCGAAGCAAGUUGCCCAGUUUGAUAUCUAAAUGUUUCGGUUAAGGUAUGGUGUUCCCGGAUUAAUGAUGUGGUUUGGUACUGGCCUUGUAAACUGAAUCGGUUGUUUAACUUCUAUUCUAUUUAUAUUUUUGGAAUAUGUAGUUAUGUAUAUGUAUAUGUAUUAUAAUAUUGAAUCCUAAUUAUCAAUGGAAAAUUUUCAUAGUAUACUAAUGGUUUUUUUUUUUUAAAUACUUGGUUCAAGCCGCCCAAAACGAACCAAGUCGGUUGGUUUGAUAUCUAAAGGGUUCGGUUCUGGUGGUUUGACAGCUUGGUUUGGAACUUUGAACUAACCGUGUAAACCGAACAAGUUAUUUAACUUUAUUGGAGAUAGCUAUGCUGGAGGCAAGGCGUCAGCGUGUUAAAGAAAAUGUUGCCCUUCUCAUUAAGGAAGAGGAAGAAAAGAAAGCGAGGGAAGGCAGUGGUCGUAAAAUAACAAGCAUGGGUACACUACA